UUUAGGGUGCCUGAGAUUAAGGAACAUCUUGAUGAGAUGGAUACGGUAAAAAUUUACCCUCUAAAA
rnacentral:tRNA from 1 species